GCUCAGGUGGCCCAGUGGCUAGAGCGUCCGCCGUGGAUGUGGGAGGUCGUGGGUUUGAACCUCAGCCGAAACA